UACGAAGGGGGCUAGCGUUGCUCGGAUUGACUGGGCGUAAAGGGCGCGUAGGCGGUUCGUACAGUCAGACGUGAAAUUCCUGGGCUCAACCUGGGGGCUGCGUUUGAUACGUGCGGACUGAGUGCGGAAGAGGGUCGUGGAAUUCCCAGUGUAGAGGUGAAAUUCGUAGAUAUUGGGAAGAACACCGGUGGCGAAGGCGGCGACCUGGUCCGAUACU
rnacentral:rRNA from 1 species